GUUCAGGAUGCCAUUGGGAAACUUCUGGGUUUUCCACGUGCAUAAUAACAUGUUGAUUCGAUGCGGGCAGUAGACGGAAUUCUUGCAGGUACUCACUGCGGAACGGGUGAAUUAGUCCACGCAUCCAUGGAUAUUAUCGAAUAGUUUUAUUUUUCACGAUAAUAGCGAAUAAACGAAAUUUCGGCAGCACUGUUUGUCAUCUUAUCCGCACUUUGAAAACGCUGUAUACGAGACGUAUUUCAUAUCAUUAUAUAGACGGGACCGUUUAGCGAGGGAUUCAUUAUAUAGCAUUGUCUAUCACAGAUCGUUCACAGUCCUGAUAAACGAUUACUCACCAUUCUGUCAAUAUAUUCAUAUCCGAUAUAUAUUCUAUUCUCAACCCGUUUACCGAUACAUAGUUACUCCAUAGUAAAUAUCAUUUGCUUAUUACUGAAAGUAGUUAAGAACAACCAUACUUCAAAUAACUGUUAAGAUGAGUAUAAAGUGCUGAAAGCUGUAACGUGUAUAAGAUCAGGAAACAACGUCGACGAGAAUUCAAUAUCUAACUUCCAGUAAAAGACCUGGACAAAUUGCAGUCUCUAAGUUAGAAGAAAGUAAAAGAUAAAAACAAAAUGAAAUAAGAGUGUCGUGGUAUAGCAAUCUGUAUCCUCUAAGAACUUUUAAGCAGUAGAACUUCUCAGCUUGAACGAUAGCCAGUGCGCCGGGUGAACUUAAAUGCAAGCUAAUAUCCAUUAAUAAAACUGUCAACGAUGAGAUUCUAUAGUGUUAACCCAGAAUAUUAUAAUUUCAGAAUUGACAAUAGGACAUAUGGUCAGUUUUCAUGUAAUUGGAAUUACGUAGCAAUUGUCCUAAUGUAUUGUAUUAUUCUAUGAUCGAAUGCAGUUCAUUAACAAUUUUAAUCCGUAUUACAGAUUUGAAUACAAGCACGAGCUGUUAUGGUACAAAUUAGCCAAUGGCAGUAGAGGAUCGACUCCGACAGCCAAUCAGAAGGAAUCAUUAAGGGUGCCGUUAAAUUUGAAUUAUCAGAGCCUUCUUACAUGCACAAUUCAGAUUAUAAUGAUUAUUAAUAUUUUAUAAAGGAAUAAUCGAACUCGCACACUGCUGUAGAGCUUGUCAUUUACUUUUAGGAUUUCACUCCACUUCCUUACUGGCCGGGGUUAACGGUUCUGGAACGUCUGACUUCACAACCCCGUGUGGUAUUACUGACUGUUUCUCCUGUCACGCGGACGCAAUGGCCUUGGCUAUGGUCGUGGUGGUGGAAGCAGUUCAGCUUAUGGGGGUAGAGGCGCCAAUGAGAUAUAUAAUAUACCAACAAUACAAUAUAUUGCACAUAAUCGCAGAGUCAAAUAUAAUUCGAUUAAAACCGUGUCAAGCGAAGAUUGUUAUAUCUAUAUGAUACCCAUACAAAAAUUAACUCGUUAAUUCGAGACUUAUAAAUUCAUUGGAAUCAUCCGCCCACAGGAAAUGAACGGAGUUAACGAAAAAAUUAUUUCGUUAUCACGUGAUAAGUUCAGUUUGGAAUAACAAGAAAGUAUAACCGCGGGGCUGUCACUAUAAAUAUUCUCUACAGGACUCUAGGAAAGUUGGAUAAUUAGUCUAGCUGCUCACUGGCGCCACCAUUUAAUUAGUCCCAUGGUGUCAGUAUACGUCUUCGGUACAAAGCAAUGAAAAAAAUAGGGUUCACCGUGUCGAUCAACAUGAAGGCAAGCAUAGGAAGUCACGUUGGUCGUUACAAUAAAUUCACAAGAGCCAUGAGAUUCUAUGGAGCUUUCCAAAAAUUAGAAAGAUUUCCCAAUUGUCUCUUUGACUGUAAUCUCAUUAUUGGUAUUUAUUAGCAGCUUCGGCGACCUUUUCUUACAGUCUCCCAUUCGAUUACCCACUAUAAUCAUAUAUACUCACUAUGACGAUUCUGUUUACUCUACCACUUUGGUUCCGAUUCAUUAAUUCUAGCACGUUCGAUAAACGAACGCAAUGGUGGCUGACUGACCGAGUCAAAAAGUCUUCGUUGUCCCCUGGACUUUGGCACAGUGACGUCGAUUAAUUUAUGUUGCUCAAAAAUAUUCAAUAAUUCCAAUAUCCCAGCUCGGGCCUGUACCUCUUGCUUGAAACAGUGGCUGAGCACCACCGAAUAAGAUGAGUACAUCAAAUGACGAUGCUACUCUCUCGUCAAGGACUAAUUACCCGAGGCGACAUAUCCUCAUUAAUUAUCGAUCAUUCUGACCAUGAGUCACAGCGAUAUAUGCCGGGUGUAGUCAUGCCAGCUUAACGAGUGGCCAACGAGACUACUCGU